rnacentral:tRNA from 1 species
GACCGCGUAGCUCAGCUGGAUAGAGCAACAGCCUUCUAAGCUGUAGGUCGAAGGUUCGAAUCCUUCCGCGGUCGCAA